CGCGGGAUCGUCUAACGGUUUAGGACACAGGGCUCAUACCCCUGAAAUCUUGGUUCGAUUCCUUGUCCCGCUA
rnacentral:tRNA from 1 species